rnacentral:rRNA from 1 species
GACGAACGCUGGCGGCGUGCCUAAUACAUGCAAGUCGAACGCUUCUUAUUCACCGAGUGCUUGCACUCAUCGAAUAAGAAGAGUGGCGGACGGGUGAGUAACACGUGGGUAACCUGCCCAUUAGAGGGGACAACACUUGGAAACAGGUGCUAAUACCGCAUAAUUCUUUUAACCGCAUGGUUGAAAGAUGAAAGACGCUUUCGGGUGUCACUAAUGGAUGGACCCGCGGUGCAUUAGUUAGUUGGGUAGGGGUAAUGGGCCUACCAAGACCGUGAUGCAUAGCCCGACCUGAGAGGGGUGAUCGGGGCCACACUGGGGGACUGGAGACACGGGGCCCAGACUCCUACGGGGGAGGCAGCAGUAGGGGGAUCUUCGGGCAA